CUCCCUCUUAAGUUUUGCUUCCCUUUUAAGUCUCACACUCGACUCCUGCAAACCACAGAUCUAGCGGUUCCAUUGUUAAUCGAUUCAGGCUUAUUGAAGGAUUAAGGUUUUAAGAUAAAGAUUUGAAGAUGAGACCCGGUCCUCCUCCUUAUCAUCAUCAUGAUAGGAGCCUAUUGACAACAAUUUGCUGCUGCCCUUGCAUUAUGCUGUCGUCUAUAUGUGGAUCCUUCGAGGGCUGCAUCUCGGUUCUUUGUUCUCCCCUCCUGCACUGUUUCGGGUUAGAUCGUCGUGAUUAUCAUCGUCCCCCUCCUCCUCCACCACAUCAUCCUCAUCCUCCACCACCACAUCAUCAUCGAUUCUAGAAAAACGAUUCCUUUCGUCUUCAUGGUUUAUGUUAGCCCACCGUUUUCUUUGUUUUAGUGUUUCUUAUGUUGUUUUGUUUAGUGUUCCUUAUGUUGUUUUGUGUAUCAUUUGUUUUGUGGAUGGUUUAUCGGUCGAUUUUUAUGUAACCGAAUAUUUGAAUGUAUGUAGGGGUUAUGGAUUGAGACUUGAUGUUAACAUGUUAGUGGAUUUCU